rnacentral:rRNA from 1 species
CAAUCUGCCUUGGAGUGGGGAGUAACGGUUGGAAACAGCCGCUAAUACCGCAUGAUGCGUCUGGGAGGCAUCUCUCUGGACGCCAAAGAUUUAUCGCUCUGAGAUGAGCUCGCGUCUGAUUAGCUAGUUGGCGGGGCAACGGCCCACCAAGGCGACGAUCAGUAGCCGGACUGAGAGGUUGGCCGGCCACAUUGGGACUGAGACACGGCCCAGACUCCUACGGGAGGCAGCAG